GAGGUUAUAGCUCAGUGGUAGAGUGCAUGCUUAGCAUGCACGAGGUCCUGGGUUCAAUCUCCAGUACUUCU
rnacentral:tRNA from 1 species